rnacentral:lncRNA from 1 species
AAUUUGCAUUCUUCUUAUAUGGAUGAAACCUAUUAAGAUUUUUUGGAUACUUAUAAAAUACAACUUCAUCUUCCAUAGCUAGGUGCCUGAUGUAUUUCUAAACAAGACAACAUGUAAUAUAACAACAUGGUGGAUUUAUCUUCAUUCUUAUUAUCGUCCGCAAACUUGUAUUAAAAGUUUGCUAUGAAUUAUUCUAUUAUGCUACUGUAAGAUUUAUUUAUACAUGAAAUAUGUGAAUUAUCAAAUUGACUCACUACCUAUUUUAAAAUAAAAAGAUGCAUUUAGAGUCCUUAAAAUCAAAAUAUAUGGUGAAUAGUAUAGAAAUCUUU